rnacentral:lncRNA from 1 species
UUUAGCAUUCCUACAAGCAAUACAGAGUUCAGGGGAUCUACUUCUUGACACAGGACACGUACAGCUAAAUAUGUAUGCCAUUCGUUACCUAUCUUUCUGGUAAUGACUUUCCAAAGCACGAGAAAGUACUGAGUCUUGUGCGUGCCCCAAAUCCUCACCUGCUGCUUGAGAAACCAGGGAAAAUUUCUGUGGGCAUCUUAAAGACUGCAGUUCAGUUGUGUGUAGCCAAAGUUCUGCUCUGCUGUAAUCAGCCAUUAAAUACCAUGGACUCCCGCCUUUUAACACUACUAAUAGCUUCGACUUUGAAAUGUUUAGGAUAAAAUAAGCUAAAAUUGAUCUUAUGAAGGUAAAUUCCAGAAUAGUAUUGACGUGCAGAAAGAAAAGGCUUCCAGCUGCACAUCCUCUUUCUAAGCCACUAUUUUCUCUCAACUGAGCUCUCUCCUAACACACUAAUUAUAUUUUAUUGGUUGAAUUUCAUUUCUACCUUGCCCAUGUUGUCACGUCUGCCAUUUCUAGAUGAGUUCCAUCCACUCCCCCAGACGCAACGUGUGUUCUAUGCCCUCUGAAGCACAGCAGUGACAAGUUAGUUCAGAAUCACCGCCUCAGGACCACACAGGCAUGCAGCCCUGGGAAUGCAUCUUCACAGUAACCAUAGCAGCGUGGAAGUCAGCAGUCAUACGCAGGUGGACAAGACAGACACAAGAAGUGCUGGAUAUGGAGAAACACCCCACUAACAAGCUACUGGACACGCAGCCGCGAAGAACCGCAUGAAAUCAGCACGAAGGGCACUAAGACACUGUGCACCAGCACAAAACCAAGAGAGGCUUAACGACGAGCCCUCUCAAAAGCAAGCAAAGAAAGAAAGUUUCCCUGGGAUUAUUACUGUUAUUACAGUAAAUGCAGCGGUUCUCCGCCCCGGCCGCCCCGCACGGCGCAGCGCAGCGCGGAGCUCACCUGGCGCCGGCGCGGGGCUCCCUGCGGCAGUGCCCGGGGCAGAGCGGCGGCUGCCAGACGGGCCCGGCCACCUGCCCGCCGCUCUCAGCCGCUAACCGCUGUUACACCGGCAGCAGCCGCAGCUCAAAGCGCUGUCCCGGCAAAGCGAAGGUGGAGAUAACGUUCCCGCGGAUCUAAUCGAGUUUCUGCUGUUGCAACCGCUUUUAAUUACCCUCCGAACGGCACAUCGCAUGGCGAUCCUCUACAGACACCGGAGCGGGCGCGGCGACAGCGAGACUCCCAUAAACGCUUUACAGCCCGCCCGCUGCUCAAAAAGCCACAAGUUUGGCACUUAUGGAAGUCGCCCCCUCCCGUCCCGCACUUACAGGUCUCUGAUUCUCCACAAAGAGAAAAGGAAAAACAUCUGUCAGUUUGGUAAUGUUUUAGGGAGGUGCUGUUGUUCCAAAAGGCUGUUGGGACCCUAAGACUUCCUGCAGGUUCUCACAUCUUGGCAUACUGUCCUCGUGACUUAUCCUGCAGCCAACUUUGUAUUUCAUCAAGGUAGUAAACAAAACCUGAAGGGUUCUCAGCAAAACAUUGUCUCAAAUCUCCUCCCGUCUUCCUGAUACUCAAGCAAAGAAGCUGUCUUCUGGUUGUGAUAAUGUGAUGAUCCUCUAGCUUAAGGCUUAUCAAUAGAAAAGAUAUGUUCCUGGGUUGCUUGUGUACUAAGAAACAAAACACGUUAUGUAUUAUAUUCACACUGAAAGCACACCAAUUCAUACAAUAGAUAGAUAUAUUUAACAUGUGUCUUUUGGGCAGAUCAUUAAUUACAUCAGGACACUUUAGAUUUCGUAUGAAAGUUGAUUUUAAAGUACAGAACUAUGAAAAGAAACUUUAACUGCUAUUUCUGCUUUGGAAGCUUAAACUGGAUGAACUAACUCAAAAAAAAAAAAAAAAUAGUGUGGCUAAAGCAUUUAACAAUGGAAAGUUAUACCUCAUUCUGCAAUGAUUGGUUUUCCCAGCCAAAAUGGAGUUUAAAGCAGAAACUGCAACAGAUCCUGCACUAGCAAAGGUAGCAGCCAAAGCUUAGGUAUUAAGGCAAGUCCAGUACAGAGCCAAAGUUAAAAAUAAAUAUAUAGUUGAGAAGAUCAAGGUAGUUUACAGUUGAACAUACCAUGUUUCUUCCUUUCUUGUCUGUAAUAAGUACACAGAAGGCAGUUCAACCAUGUAGUUAGGCUAUGGAAAGAACAAAGCUGUUGUACAGAGUGGGAUUUCUUUUUCUGACCACUGGGGGAGCAAAUUCGUCACUGGGCAUGUUGUAGUCCUUACACUGAAACGGUUCAUUAAACGAGUGUGAAGCUCCAGUAGCGCUUAGGCUGUGCUACUGCAGAGCAGUGCUGGUGCUGCAUGGUUAUCUGUGCAGAAGGAUUCUUUUCACUUUGCAGGACACCUGACUUAUACUUUUGUUCUGGUCAGCCUCGAGGGACUGUGUAUGCCAUUUAGUAACUAUUGCUACGUGGUGUUUUUAUACAUACAUACAGCAGAAGGCUGUAUACCAUGUUCAAUUUCAUAGUUACCUGUCAGUAAACAUUCACACUUGUGUCAUGUACCUUUCUUGUUUCAGUGAGAAUCUUAAGCUAGAACAUGUAUUUACAGUGUUCUUCAGACCAAGGCAUAUGGCACCAUUUCUGUUUUACAUAAUAAAUGGAGAAUGGUUAGGGCAGAGUCGCUCCUAGAACCUAGAAGAAAGACAAAACUGUAAUUACCCUCGCCCUAUUUACCACAUGGCUACAAUAUGUCAAUUGCAAUUAUAUUAUGGAUUAUGUGCCAUUAACUGGUUUCUGUUCAGAUUUCCAUGCUAUUUAGGGCAUGCUCUGUCAUGAAUCUUUAGAAACCAUCUUUUUGUGUUGACUCUUUUGUUUGGCACACUGCCACCUAGCUGCUGCCUUCCAUCAACGGUUCUGAAGUUAUGCUAGAAGCAAGAUGGCACUUUUGACAAGUGAAGCUUACCUGAAAUAUUCUUCAGUAGAGAAACUGCUGAUGGGAAGAAGGGACAAAAAUAGAAAAACAGAAUUAUUAUUACAAUUUGUACUGUGACAGUUGACUCAGUAUAAUUUUGAAGCAAGUUGUGAUGUGCUGACAUUAUUUUCACUCUGAAAAAAAAAAUUGAUUGCAAAACACACACAGAAAGUGAAAAAGUCAUGUUUUUCCAGGCACAUUUUAAUAGGUAGUGAUUCGGGAAAAUAAAUGAGGAAGAAAUGUAAAUACAUAGGAGGCAGAUUUACUGAAUAUUUAUUUGGAGAGAACGAAAGCUGAUCAUUACAGUAACACUCAGUAUAGGAAAUAAAAUCCACGUGUUAGAAUGAAGAUGUGGAAAUAAGCUGUAUAAAGAAACUAUUACUUUGAGUUGAGGUGGAUGUGACAUCAUUUAGGGAAUUAAAGCCAGGCUGCAAAAGCAUUAAGUGGAUAUUUCACCAAAAUUGGAAAGAUGUGUUUUAAAUAACACUUUCAACGAUGCUUUUAAACUCUAGCAGUAAUUGUUCUGCUACUGUAUCUUUAUAUAUCUGUAUAUCAUAUAAGGCCACAAGGGGAGAACACGUAUGCUGUGCAUAAAUGUACAUGAAGAAUGCUAAGAUAAUACAGGAGGAGUAAUAUCUCCUAUUAGUACAACUAAUAUUUGAAAACAUCAGCUCUCUUUUUGGCUCAUCAGUCCUUUUUUCUCAAACUGUCCAUUCAAAGUUUGCCUUACUAUAGCCCUAGAGAAUCACCAUCAGACAUGAUAUUUUUUUAAGAACCAUGAGGCAUGAACAGUAUGGCACCGAGGCAAGUCAAAUUGCCUAUGUCCUUCCUCUAUCUAUAUUUACAUGGUUUUCUGAACCAUGCCUUCUGAUAGUAAGUCAUUGCAACAGGUCUAUGAGUGAGAUGGUCUGUCAUGGUUUCCCAUGCAUUUGUCUGUUUUUACAUGCGCUGGAAAGCAUAUGGUAGAUUUGAACCCCAAAUAACAAAUGGUAUCAAAUUUUGCUCAAAAAAAGUCUGAAAAAAAUAUGAAAAAACAUGACAUUGGAAAGAUACAUUGUGAUGGAUGAUUCACUGUGACCCUUUUCUCAAUUGCACAGUUUCUGGACUCUUUAUCACUGCACUAGAGUAACCAGUAGCCAGUCAUUCAGUUUAACAGCAAAUAUUGAAGCCAAACACUAAGUAAUUUGCAUUAUAGUACAAUAGUGAGUCCAGAAAGUGCCAUAUCCAGUGGUGUUUUUCAGUGGGAUUUGGAGGAAGCUCUGCAAAGUAUUGCUCACUUAAUACAACAAAAGUUCCAUAUUUCAAUUGAAUGUCAAUACAUCCACAUCUAUGAGGAAGUUAACUCCAGUUCAUAAAGAGUUGCAGAGUUUUUUCCCUAACAUUUUUAAAACAUAAAACCCUUGAAUAUGUGGGUGUGUGGAGAUAUAUGAUGUAUUUCUGUGUCCGGUACGUGCUGUGGAGAUCUGCAUUCUUCUUUGGGUAAAGAUGAGAGUUGAUACAUACCAUGUGCAUGCAUAGAGUCAUUUCUUAAUUUAGCAACUCAUACAGAAAGUCUGUCCAAUUCUUUUCAUCUUUCCUUCUUUCACUGUGUCUGUGUGGCAAACACCCUGGGGUUCCUGUGGUUUUUGAAGUGUAUUUGCAUGAUACUGUAUAAAGAGCGAAUACAUUGUUUUGCAGUUGUUCGAAGGAGGUCACAAUAAUAGAUUUUUUUCUUCUUCUUUUUCAUUUUUUCCCUUUCUUUUUCCUUUCUUUUCUUUUUCUUUUUUUUUCUUUUUUCUUUCUUUUUUUUUCCUCUUCAUUGGUAGUUGUAAUAGUUUUGGUAAUUUGGGGGUCAGCAGUUGUACAAAAGGAAGAAAUGUAUCUAAGAAGCACCUAAUUGUGACAAAUUAACAAGAGACUUUAGAUGUGGUCUAAUACCUUGUGUUCCUGGAAAUCCCUCUCCAAAAGGAGGAGUUACAUAGUUUUUAUUUUUGUCUGAGUAUUUGGCUCCUGAGCUGUAAGCACAGAAAAAGAAGAUUUCUUUGCAGAAAGGGAGGCCAAGUAUUUUUUGAUCACAAAUAAGACCAAAAUAUUUCAGACAUGCUAUACCACUGUGAUAGCAGUGCUUUUCCUAUUCUUGAACUGGUCUUCAGAACAAUCAAACAGAAAAUACUUUACAGGACUUUAUUUUUUAAGAAGUUUUGGAAAACUGCUGGCAUAUUGUCCAGUGCAAAAGUAAGCAACAAAGCUUUAUAGUAUGUAGUUAAUCAGAGCAGAUGUUGAUGAGUCCAUCUUUCUGUGGCCCCUAUGUUCCAUUUUUACUUUGUUAAGUUUAGCACCAUUAUGACAAACUGACAGGAUACAUUACCCACCCCUAUGUUGAUGUAGUCCCAUCCACAGUAAUGCAGAAUGACACGAGGAGUGGGAAGGUUAAAGCAUAGGUCUAUUCCCCUAACAGACACACAAAGACUCCACCAGAACCUACCAGCGAUGCAGGAAAAAUUGAGUGCUUUACAUAGAUGUGCAAGAAACAUUGCUUUUUCUUUAUGGUUUACACCUGUGCAAUGCCCCUGCUGCAGCUGGAGGAAGGGGACUGGCCCUGAACUGCAGCAAUACAUUCAGCAGGAAGAAAAAAUGAAGUUGUUUGCCUGAAGCUGAUGCAGACCUGAAAACUUAAGGCUCCUUACGGAAAGAAACGUGGAGUAAAGUGAUUACAGCCCAGAUAUUUAUAGGAAGAGGAGAGUGGAUGAGUUGGAGGAGCAUUGAGUUUGAAAGAAGAACACUGGGACAUUCAGAACUAAGAGGAACUUUGGAACAGGAAUCACAGGGAGGUCAUUACAGAGAAGAGCUGGGAAGGUGGCUCACAAAGGACUUGCAAGGGAAAGAGGUAAAAAGGCUUGGAACCUGCAGUCGUUAUGAAGUACAUAACUAUCAAAUUUCUGUGGCCUUUCUUCUACAAACUGUGCCCCUGAUAGUGUUAAUAGUCUGUUAAUUGCUAUAUAUUUGCAUUAAAUGUUUUUGAAAGUUGAAGAUAUAUUUCUGGUUUGAAUGUUAGAAUCAGAGUCUGGUGUAACAUUAAUAUGUUUUUAACAUGCCUUAGGUUGCUUCUCUUCUGCUCCUUGGCAGGGCUGAUGAGCUGACUGUAGGGUAGACAUGGCUGUUUUGAAUUGUGUUUCCCUUUGAGGCAAUCAGAUUACUUGAACUACCUUUCUAUUUAUAAACCCUGCUUAAUGGAGUAUCAGCAUGGACCCAUGACAUGCAACAUCUCUACAAAAGCGUGGAACAGGAUGCUAUAUCACUGAAUUUCCUCUGUCACUUUUGAAACUUUUUUGGGGGGUCUUUUUUUGUGGGUCUUUUCCAACCUUAGCGAUUCUAUGAUUCUAUGAAACCGAAGGGGUUUCUGAGUGACACUUACCAGCUCUGGCUUUAAGCUGCGAAAACUCCAUCAACGUCCACCGAUUGUGCAGGGAACUUUAGAGCCUCUUACAAGGCUAACAGGGUUUUCAGUGCUGGAUAUUACUCAGACUACUGUCAUUAGCCCUGAAAUGUCCAAAUGCAUGGCUGUUGCAGGACUUUUACAAAAAUAAGUACUUGAAAGAAGUUCAAAUUUAUAGUCUAUGGACCUGGUUCAGACCUCAGUUAAGUUCUUGUAAAUCCCAAGUAAAGUUCAUUUUGUAGUAGUAGCUGAAAGGGCAAGAUUCAGAGCAAUACAGUGUCAGUAUGGUUUCACAGAAGCCAAUGCAUUUAUUUCUGUUAAUAAAUCAGGCCUCUAAGCAUUUGGCUACUUUUCUUUAGUAAUUAAUGGAGAUAGUAGAUGAGGAGAGAGUGUUCAUACCACCCAAAUUUAAUCUCCUAGGCAUCUCUCUGAAGCUGAUUAAGAGCUAUAGAUUCUUCCAGAAUGUAGUUCAAAGCACUUAUAUUAAUUAUUUUAUGUAUUUGUGGAUAGUUAAACUAAGGUUGCCAAGAAAAAGCAAGCUUGCAUUGACUGUGAUUAGAGUUAAUGUUACAGUAGAGCAGAGCUCUGAGAUGUUAUACUCAGGAGAGAGGAAACUCUGAGAAAUAAAGGCUAAUAUAAAAAACUCAGGCUUAGUAUUCUGAUUACGUACAUUUUUUUGUCUACAUUUGGCUCAAAGCAUGGGCCCCUGAGAUAGGUGAAACUGAAGGUUGAAAGAAAAUCAGUACUAAUAAUUUUGGUCUAAUGCAACUUGGAAUCUGUCAGAAGGAGCAGUGGAAUAGGAAGCAGCCUUUGGUCAAGUUUAAUUUUUCUCUGAAAUAUUUCUGUGAACUAUGGUAAAAACAGAUGGAAUCUAAAAUAUACUAAGUGGAAGAAAAUGACAAAAGGAUAAAGCAAUGCAUUGUACUGAAAAAUAAUUACUUUAAGUUUGACCACUUGGAAUGUGUUUCAAAAGCACCAAGUCAAAAGCAUUUUCUUUCUACUUUUUCAUUUCCAUGAUACAUUUUCCUUUUCAGGGAACACAUCUUCAUCUGUAGAACAAAUAUGUGCUUAAUGCAUUUUAUAUUAAGAACAAUAAUGCUUGACGUUGAAUUUUAGCAAAUGUUAUUAUGGAAAGAAGUCGUAAGUACCAGGUCUGUUGGCCGAUGAUUUUAGGGACUGUUUCUUUGAACAUGGAAAUUUAACAAAACUGAAAUGACUUGGGAAGAGAGGAAGGCUUCAGAAAGGGUGCUGUGUUGUUUGUGGGUGGCCAUGCUGAAUUCAGACACUUUUGCUUCAGAUUUUAUAUCUUCUCAGCAACCUGCAGACUGACCCAUUCCUUUGUAAUGGAGAGCAAAAUCUACAUCUUCCAUACAGUGUUAAUUUGAGUCAAAUCAGAUACUACUACUCUUUAGUAAUGUUCCUUUGUACCCCAGAAUCUUCAGAACGAUGUAUUUCUGUGUGUUUAUGUUAUCAAAAUGCAACUGCUCAUUUUUGAGGCACUAGUAUUUUUUUGCUGUCUUCACCUUGCAGGACUGAGUUAUUAAUUGAGAACAACUUAAAAACAAUUUGAGAUGUUACACUAACUGUGGUAAUCAAAAAAAGAUAAUCUAUAUUUUAAUUCAGAGUUUUAGUAGUUAGAAUUUUCUCCAUUUUUACUGGUAUCCAGCAGUCUAAC